rnacentral:rRNA from 1 species
AGCAACGCCGCGUGAGCGUAAGAAGGUUUUCGGAUCGUAAACUCUGUUGUAAGGGAAGAACACGUACGAGAGUAACUGCUCGUACCUUGACGGUACCUUAUUAGAAAGCCACGGCUAACUACGUGCCAGCAGCCGCGGUAAUACGUAGGUGGCAAGCGUUGUCCGGAAUUAUUGGGCGUAAAGCGCGCGCAGGCGGUUCUUUAAGUCUGAUGUGAAAGCCCACGGCUCAACCGUGGAGGGUCAUUGGAAACUGGAGAACUUGAGUACAGAAGAGGAAAGCGGAAUUCCACGUGUAGCGGUGAAAUGCGUAGAGAUGUGGAGGAACACCAGUGGCGAAGGCGGCUUUCUGGUCUGUAACUGACGCUGAGGCGCGAAGGCGUGGGGAGCAAACAGGAUUAGAUACCCUGGUAGUCCACGCCGUAAACGAUGAGUGCUAAGUGUUAGGGGGUUUCCGCCCCUUAGUGCUGCAGCUAACGCAUUAAGCACUCCGCCUGGGGAGUACGGCCGCAAGGCUG